UAGCAUAAAUAUUUCAAUACCAAAUGUAUUCAGACAUCAGGAGAUUAAUAAAAGUUAUCUUUGGCCUCUACAAUUACAAGAGGUGCUCAAAGUGGAGGCCACUGGCUUCCAGACAUUUCUGUUGUGUUGUAGACGUCACUUGUUGAUGCUCCAUUCAUGAGGUAGUGCCAUCUGUUGGGAAAACAUCGUACAACAGGACACAGAGUUAUCGUGAUUUGAUCAAACUUAGAAAGAGGAAUCUAUAUGUAUAGAAGUACUGAUACAAAUGAAAUAUUUAUAAAAGUUUUUCUUUUCCUGAUGUGUGUAAACAUUAUUUUGGCUGAUUCUGACUCUGUGAACUUAAUGAGAACAAAACUGUCAUUUAGUUGUUGCUCUGAAAGCUUCUUUAGUGAAAACCAGCUGGUGUUCUGCUUUGAAACAAACUGCUGUUGAGGUCUAUGUUUUUAGGUUUAACCCCACAGUUUCUGAAUGAACUGAUAGUUGUUUUUUUUCCUGAUCAAUGUGGACGUUAUAAUUGAUGGUAACAUUUACUAAUCAUAUAAUCAGCAUGACAAUAUAACAGUAGAACAUUCUGACCACCUGACUAAUACUGUGUUGGUCCCUUUAUGCUGCUAAAACUCCUCUGACACAGUGGUUCAUCAGAACCUCUGGGGAUCCUGUGGAUCCUGUGGGUUGCAGGGUGGGUCCUACCUAGACCAGGCUGAUCCUGGACCAUCCCACAGAUGCUCCAUCAGAUGUGGAUGUGGGGAGUGUGGAACCCAGAUGUUCAGAGGGAGAUGAUGCCACAUCUGGUCCAGCUGAUGGAAGGUCUUGAAGUUCUCUGACUGGCCUCGACUGAAGAUGGUCGUCUCACUGGAUUUAAGGUUCAGAUGCUCAGUAACAAACUCCACCAAUGAGCCAACAGGGAAGCUUUAGGUUUAUUAAAUGUUGCUAUGAAGGUUUCACUGUUUUUCUUUGUGAAUGCAAUGAGCUCCAACUGAAACUUGAAUUAGAACUUAGAAGUAAAUCCUUCCAUCUGAAAGGAUUUAGUUGCAUUAAUAACCUCAUAACAUUCUAAUUUUUAUUCCAGUCUUGGUUGGAAAUAGAAUCUCUGUAUUGAUUCAGGUAAAAACUGAACUUCACAGCAUGUUGGAGCAAAACAACCAGAUGAAAACUGUGAUGGUGUUGGAUUGUCAGACUGUAAUGUUGCAGCUCAAAGCAGCUUUUCUAUCUCAGUUCAUUCUGACAUUCAGCUAUGAAUCAACACAGCAGAUGGUGAUCCAUGCUGUGGAAGUCUCACAUCUCCUGAUUUAAUGGAGCUGCUUUGCACUUUUUACACUGUUUAUUCACCAACUCUUUAUUUAAUAAAAGUCCCAUCUAGUUUUUAUGAGGAAUGUGAUGUUUUAAUUUCUCUGUGAAUAACUGCAGUCUAAUGCAACAGCUGGAAUUGUAACAUCUGUCCUGAUAUUGAUCAUGAAGUAUUGAUCAGAAUACUCAUGGUCAGCAGUCAUCCCUGAAGUUUUACAUUCAAAUCAUUACUUGUGUUGUGAACUUUGGUAAGAAGCAGAAACUUUAGCGUUGCCAUGGAUACAGGAGUGUUAAAUUCUGUCCAUGUUUCCAUUUUGGGAAAUUCAGUCCAGCAGAUCAGUUUGUUUUUACUGCCAGCUACAUUCAGUCUGAGAUAUUAAGAAUAAAUAAAUGUGCAUAAUGUGGAAAUGAACAGAUUCUAUUUUUAUUUAUUCCUACAGCUGCUGCAGGUAAAGUUAUAGAAUGUGGAGGAAUUUAGUCUCACAAUCACAGACAAUAAAUAUUAUCUGAAAGUCGGAUUAUUGUUGUUUAUCAGCACAAUACAAAAAGAUUCAUGUUAGAAAUAUUCCAGUUAAGACUCUAGAAUAUCAGGAUUUAUGUAAAUUUACCUCAAUAAUAUGAAUGUUCAGGUUGUGCAGUGAUAUUUAUUAUGUGAGUUUAGCUGAUAAAAGUUUAUUAUUUAAAUUGACAUCAUUAUUAUAAUAUUUAAGAUCAGACUCUACAGUAUUGAGAUUAAGAAAUCAAAUAUUCUAUAAAAUGUAAAUACACUGAACUCAUUUGGAUCUAUUUAAGUGAGACUCUACAAUAUUAUUUAUGACACAAAUCUAUCUAAAUCAACAUUUUAAUCAUUUUUACUCCAAACAUUUACUGGACUGAUUUAAACAUUAAAAUCACUUCUUUCUAAUCCUCUGCUGUACGUUCAAACCUGAGGCCUUAAAUAGAAACACACAAGUAUCUGAUUGAAGGAACUUCUGCAGAGUCCUGGUUCCAGAACAUGAUGAUAGAAUUAUAGACAAACUUUAACAAAAGCUGCCUGAGAGUUUACAGGUUUUUAUGUUAGAUUUCUUCAGUAAUUUAAUGAGAGUUAUCAGCAAAAAUCAAGUGUUCAUUUGAUGAACUUCAUUUCUUAAAACAUCCAGAAUUGGAGCUCAUAUCUUUGGCAGCUGUAAAGUUUCUGCUCCUUCAAAGUUCACAACACAAUGAAUGAAUUCCUAAAACACUCUCAAUGCUGGAGAGCUUUUGAUGCUGAAGCAGUGAUCAGUUUUUCUGUUUCUUCUCUGGAGAUGCACAAUGAGGGACGUCUGCAGAGACUGAGAAAGAGUCUCACCACAUCCUGACAUGAGGAAAAAGACUUUAUUGAAGACUACAAUGAGAAAAACUAUCAGACAGCAGACGGCUGCAUUCAAGGUGAGAUCUGAACAUUUGAUCUGGAACAGGAAUUCAAUAACGGCAGCAUGAGCUUCAUUUCAGUCUGUAGCUGCUGAAUUCAUGGAUGGAUCAUCUGGCACUAGAGAGGAAGACCAUCAAACAUCCACGUCAGCUGAUGGAGGUCCAAGAGUCUCACCCAACAAACAACCUACAGAGUGAAGACCUCCAAUCUGAUUGGACGGCCUCCUAUUCAGCCACAUGUGUGAACAAAUGCCUCUAAGCUGAUUUGUUUUCUAAAAUGAAUCUAGUUUGAGUCCUAAUCUCUGCCUGUGUGUUUGCUUCUUUACACUGCUGUUAACAGUUUAGGCUGUUAGAUUGUUCCAGAUAAGACAAGUACAAGAUUCUUCAGAGCCGUUCUACCACGAGCCUGACAGGAAGAACUCCAACAGCUACUGAAUGUUCCUGUGGUUCCCUCAAGGCUACAGGAGGAGCCCUACGAGGACGAGCUGGUCCACCUGAUGGAGGCCAGUCGCUGCGGUUCAAAGCCAACACCGACUACGUGGACUUCUACUGGACCACAUGGAGGCCUUCAAACCGGACCAACAAGUUCAGCGACUCCCCGACUCGUGGGUCUGAGGACGCCGCCGAGCCUCGGUCCAGCCGGCCUCCUGUCUGUGGGUGUUUGAGUGCUGAGAGGUUUGUGGAUGCAUGUGAACGUUCUGUGUUGAAACAGCAGCUUUGGACUCAGUAACACCGGGAAAAACCAAGAGCUCCUUUAUUUGUGACUUCCACUAAAAAAACUGAUGAAAAUAAGUUUACCAGGGUUCUGACUGAUAACAGAUUAUUAAAUAAUGAAAAUAAUCCUUUAAAUAUUCCUUUAAACAAUCCUUUUAGGUCUACAUUUCCUUUACGCUGACUUCUUGGUAAAUGUACAAGUAUUUUGGGUGGAAUAUACCAUUAAGCCCAAUGUUCAAGGGUUCUUCUGGGAAUAUACCAUUAAACCAACCUUUUAGGUAAAUGUUCCAGGAUGUUGGGUAGAAUAUACCAUCAGAUCAACCUUUUAGGUCUACAUUGGAAGAUUUUAGAGUAGAAUAUUACUCCAAACCAUCCUUUAGGUCUACAUUUAAGGUGGAAUACUCCUUUACACCAAGAUUUUUUGGUCUACAUUGAAGGAUUUUAGGUGGAAUAUUCCUUUGAACAAACUUUUUAAGUUUAUGUUCCAGGAUGUUGGGUGGAAUUUACCAUCAGACCAACCUCCAAGGUCUACAGUAGUGAAUUUUAGGUGGAAUAUACCAUUAAACUCACCUUUUAGGUCUACAUUGGAGGAUUUUAGGUGGAAUUUUCUUCCAAACCAUCUUUUAGUCUACAUUUAAGGAUGUUUAGGAUUGUAUAUUCUUCCAAACCAACUUCUCAGGUCUACAUUUCAGGUGGAAUAUUCCUCCAUACUAACUUUUUUGGUCUACAUUGAAGGAUUUUUUCUAAACCACCCUUUGGGGUCUAUAUUUGAGGUUUUAGGUGGAAUAUUCCUUUCAACCAGCCCCUCAGGUCUCUUUGAGGAUUUUGGAUGGAAUACUCUGUUAAACCAACAUUUUAGGUGCAUGUCCAAGGAUUUUUGGUGGAAUGUUCCUUUAAAGUGGAUGUUUGAGGACCUUGUCGGUGGAAUACUUCCUGAAACCAACCUUUUAGGUCAACAUUCAAAGAUUUAAGGUGGAAUAUUCCUUUAAACCAACCUAAAUUUCAUGUUUUGAUCAUUAUCAAGUGAGAAACCUCAAUCCAGACUCCUCAUAAUGACAUUUGAGAUUUAUGCUGCUGUUAUUUGUUUAGUCCAGACUAAAUGACAGAAAUCCACAACUGUAAUUUUAUUUCAGGACUCUGUUAUUGAAUGUCAAAACAAUCCAUGUGACUCUAAAAACUCAACAGCUUUACAAACUCUAAGAUUAAACUCUCCACAAGGAUCCAAAAUAAGUUGGACUUCUACAUGAGAGCUUUAAUUAUUCUUCAUCUACUUCCUGAAAAGUUUGGUCAAUAAAAAAGACAAAAACUAAUAUUUUCAGCUGAACUAAAGACAGACUUUGUGAUUUUUCUGCUCACAUGUUGUGUUGUUGUAAACUUCCUCUUUCAAAUAAAUAUCCUCCUAACCCCCUGGAAA